AUUGAACGCUGGCGGCAGGCCUAACACAUGCAAGUCGAGCGGAUGAAGGGAGCUUGCUCCUGGAUUCAGCGGCGGACGGGUGAGUAAUGCCUAGGAAUCUGCCUGGUAGUGGGGGAUAACGUCCGGUAACGGGCGCUAAUACCGCAUACGUCCUGAGGGAGAAAGUGGGGGAUCUUCGGACCUCACGCUAUCAGAUGAGCCUAGGUCGGAUUAGCUAGUUGGUGGGGUAAAGGCCUACCAAGGCGACGAUCCGUAACUGGUCUGAGAGGCUGAUCAGUCACACUGGAACUGAGACACGGUCCAGACUCCUACGGGAGGCAGCAGUGGGGAAUAUUGGACAAUGGGCGAAAGCCUGAUCCAGCCAUGCCGCGUGUGUGAAGAAGGUCUUCGGAUUGUAAAGCACUUUAAGUUGGGAGGAAGGGCAGUAAGUUAAUACCUUGCUGUUUUGACGUUACCAACAGAAUAAGCACCGGCUAACUUCGUG
rnacentral:rRNA from 1 species